rnacentral:rRNA from 1 species
AGUGAACGCUGGCGGUAGGCCUAACACAUGCAAGUCGAACGGCAGCACAGUAAGAGCUUGCUCUUACGGGUGGCGAGUGGCGGACGGGUGAGGAAUACAUCGGAAUCUACUUUUUCGUGGGGGAUAACGUAGGGAAACUUACGAUAAUACCGCAUACGACCUACCGGUGAAAGCAGGGGACCUUCGGACCUUGCGCGAUUGAAUGAGCCGAUUUCGGAUUAGCUAGUUGGCGGGGUAAAGGCCCACCAAGGCGACGAUCCGUAGCUGGCCUGAGAGGAUGAUCAGCCACACGGGAACUGAGACACGGUCCAGACUCCUACGGGAGGCAGCAGUCGGGAAUAUUGGGCAAUGGGCGCAAGCCUGAUCCAGCAAUACCGCGUGGGUGAAGAUGGCCUUCGGGUUGUAAAGCCCUUUUGUUGGGAAAGAAAAGCAGCAGGAUAAGACCCCGCUGUUCUGACGGUACCCAAAGAAUAAGCACCGGCUAACUACGUG